UUGGAAGCUAAGCAGGGUCAGGCCUGGUUAGUACUUGGAUGGGAGAUAUAUCCCUAGGAGAGGAAUUGCAGGAUCAUAGGGUAGGUCCAUUUCUAGCCUUCUAAGAGUUCUCCAGACUGCUCUCCACAGAGGUUGGACCAAUUUAUAUUCCUCCUG
rnacentral:miRNA from 1 species